UUCCAGUCAUAAUAGUAGACUUGUAUAUUUCUCUCCUCAGUCUAACCAGUGUUUGCCUUAUGGAUUUUGAUGCUGUAUUGUUAUAUGCAUAUAUGUUUAGGAGCAUUACAUUUUCUGGGAUAUUUGAUUCCUUUAUCACUAUGUAACAAUUUAUUUGAAGCACUGAUAUAUUCACUGUGGGGACUUUGUCCUUUAAGUGACACAGGAAGUCAGGAGGGUGCAGGAAUAUGAGUAAUUCACUUGGGGAUUUCCAGUUUGGGUAAGGCUCAGGCAGAGUACUUUUCCCUGAAGAGUAACUCUUUGUGUGGUGAAGCCUCCAGGUACACUUCAUGACUAUAACUCACCUCUUCUUCAGCCCAAGCCAUGUCGGGCUCUUUAUCAGAUCUUCACCAAAAUACCUCCAUGAGGCACAGGGACCUAGGGAUGGAUAGCCCGCUCCUGCAAGCCGAGAUCAUUCAAACCACCAACUCGACGCCUGCUUGGCUCCUUGCCUCAUGUUCCCUGCAGAAGUCAGAAUAAAGGCUCUUGCUGCUGCUGCUGCUCCUUCACUGGCCCUGCUGCUUCCCUUUGUGGUGUGCUGUGCCUCUCGUUCUCAGGGAUCUGCGCUGUGGAACCUUUCCUUGAGAGAAGCACUGACAUCCACCUGCAUCAUGAGUGUUACCACAGCUGAAUGCAAAUAAGCCUAAAAUUUUCCUUUUCCUCCCACUCCAUCCCAACUCUUCACAACACCAAGUACUUCUGCUUCCCACCUCUCAAUAGGAAAGCACUCAGACAGCAGCAAUCCUGCCCUCAAAGGGCAGAUAUUGUACUAGUCAGCCUUGCAUCAUUAUAGCGAAAUACCCAGGUCAGGCUACUUAUAAAGAAAAUCAGACUUAUUUGGCUCACAGGUGGGAAGUUCACAGGUCUGGUGCUUAUAUUGGCUGUUCUGGUGAAGGUCCCAUGGCAGAUGUGGAUAGUAAAUGGCAGGCAACAGUCUCAUCUUGAGUCACAGAGCAGAGAGGAAAGAAUCAGGCUUGCUCCUUUUAUUAUAAGUCUGUUAUGAGGACUCAAGGUUUGCAUGGGAAGCACUGUAAUCAAGGCAGGAUUCCAAGAGAUACAAGAACCUCCCACUUAAGCUCCACAGAACCUCCCAGUAUUAACUGACUGGAGACCAUGUCCCUGGGAGGACACUCACAUCACUUUGGGAGCCACUGCAGACAUCUGGUGUGGACCAAGAGUGGUGCACACUGUUCCUGCCUUGGGGAGGAGCUUCCGGUAUGACCUUAGUUCUCUCUGGACGUAGGCUUGGAAGUGAACUUACUCUGUGAAAGGUAGCCACAGCACAUCAGGUUUUGGCGUAUUAACAUCUUAUGGGGUAAGGAUACUUUGUCCAAGCCCUAUGGAAUUUGCUGUUUCUCUGUGGGUUGCAUUAGGUUGUCCCUAAGAUUCCUGUCACUUCCAAGAGCUAUGCACAUGAUUCUAAGGAAGGUAGGCUUGGUUUGGACAGGCAGGAAAUAUAUUUAGUAAACAAAUUUCAAGACAUUCUUCAGUUACUGACCUAUGUGCAGCACAACUGAAUAGUCAGUGUCAGAAUGCAGCAAUAAAAUGAGAGUCCAGAAAAGAAGAAAGAUGAAACCAAGAAUUUACUUGGUAUAUCUCUGUCUUUGUGGACAUUUCCGUCAAGAGGGAUUCUGGUGUUAUGUCAGACAAGUAGGAGGAAAACUGUAACAGACAUAGUGCAAGCCAAGCAGCAAUCCCCAAAAACAAAACAAGUUUUACCCUAGGAAAAACAAGGGGUAUGAGAAAUAAAAAGUUAUCACUGGCUGGCGAUUUAGCUCAGAGGCACAAGCCUGCAUGGCAUGUGCAGUCAUGAGUUAGAUCCCGGGUACCAAAAAAAAAAGGUACCACAAUAUGUUGUGCGUAUCUAUUUGUUGUUGUUAUUACAAAAUACCCGAAGGUUGGCAUUUUAUAAAGAAAAGAGUCUUAUGCUGGUGACCAUUUUUGAGGCUGGAAGUCCAAGAUGGGGCAGUCCCAUCUGGUGAGGACUAUGUCAGGGCAUGAUCAACAGCAUUAUGCAGGAGCCCAAGCAAGGUGGACUGAUCACGUGGUAAGACAGGAAGCCAGAUAUACAGGUUAUUGUGGGCCCGCUCAUGCAGGAACAAACCAGCUCCAUGCCAGCACUACUAAUCCCUUCUCAGGAAUCUGUCCAUGGUCCAGUCACUGCCCAAUGGCUCUGCCUCUCAAGAGAACAACCACCACCUCCCAGAGGAGGGUCCCACUGCCCAGGGAUCAGGCUCCCAGCACGUGAAGUAGGGACACACUCAAAUCACAUCCAGACCACAACGUGUGUCCAAGGUCCCAGCUCUUCAAUCUGAGGGGCCACACCCCUUGCUGCUGUCCUGGAACGCUGGGCAGUGGGCUCCCAGCUGCUGUGCUGUCUGGAACAUGCAGAGACCUGAGUGGAGACCUGGUGGCUGUCAACUACACUUCAAUGAUCAAAGCAAAGUAACCACUGAAACCUCUGCAAUCUCAAGGUUUAAAAAAUGAAGAGAAGGACAUAAGUAAAGAGAAAAUCCACAGUUUUACUGGGCCUCAGCGCAGUCUUUGGUCGGUCAGUCGGGCGAAGAAGCUGGUAACAAGAUCUGCGGCUUCCAACGUCAACAGACGCAGGGGCCCACCUCAGCAAUGCCUCUGCAACCUCUGAAUACUCAAACAAUAGAAUGAAAUCCACCUGUACCGUUUUGGGUGGAUUUAAGAUUGGGGGGCCACACUACCUCCCCAAGUGUUUAAUUCGAAGUCAGGUUCCUCUACGUGUUACAGGCCGGGCUCCUUAAGACUGAAAACGCGUCCAACAGAACACUGGUGCUCAACAUUAGCGGGCUCAGAAAUGUUCGCUCCUCCACUCUACUGCUUCUUUCUUUGCGGAGCGAAGGGUGCGAAUGCACACAGCCUCGGGACCCACAGGAACGGGGCCACGCCGGGCCUCCUGCACAGGAGCCUCGCCAGUGUCCCAACCCGGGCUUCCCAGGAGCCCGCCGCUCCGCACUUCCGGUUCCCAAGAUCCUGGCCCCUCCAUCCCCGCGCAACAGUGGGACCCCGCGCCUAGGUUCCGGAGGGAAGCUGCCACAAUCUGCCCUUUGUAGUGCGUUUAUCCCAUUUCCCCCUAUUUUCAAAGGGCACCAGCCCGCGAACACUUGCCCUUGCCCAGGUAUCGGUGGGCACUCUCCAUUUGCCGCGUCCCUGCCCGAAAGCCUCCAGGGAACACCGUGGGGAGGAAAAGUGCGGCUACACCUACCUGCGCCAGGUGAGGCGGGGUAGUUCCGGCGCGGUUCGGGGUUUCCUGCACGGCUCGGACGAUUCCGGCGCGGCUCGGGAGCCCGCUCGUCGUUACUCGCCUGUCGCCUCAGCCGCCUCGAGUAUGGCGCUUCUUCGUUUCGGGCAGCUUUCUUGUGUUGCCCCGCCGACCGCGCCCUGGCGCCCGGAGCGCGGUCCCUCCCGCUGUGCGGUUGCCGGGAAGAGGACUUGGGCCCCGGGCUGCGGAGCGCGGGCCGGAAGCCCCUGCCAGGGCGGCGCCAGAGCUGGCGGAGGCGCAGUCCCCGCUCCGCCGCCCAGCGCUGCCGUGGGCGCCGAGCGCUCGGAGCCCGAGCCUUGCCGCGGUCCUAGAACGGGCUGAAGCACGCACCCCUUUCUGCAGUUUCCUGUGAAAGCCGUCAGCAGUCGCCUGCUCACCACCACAUAAUAACCAGUCCUGCUGAGGCAGGAGCCCCGAGGGCGCAGGAGCCGAGGACGAGAACCGCCACGAAGUCUCUGCGGGGAACUUCUGCAAGGAUGCCCUGCAGCCCCCUGCACACCCGGCCUUGGACUCCUGCCGCCCACCUGAGUGAUCCAGGUAGCAAGGAUUCGGGCUUCCAAACAGCUUGUGCAGUCCUCCUCAAAACUUCCCCGGCCUUAGUCUCCUAGCGUUUCGAGUGUAAGGCUGAUUUUUUCAUCAGGGUACAUGAACAUGGGUCGGUGAGACCCACGCUUAGUCUGUAGAGUAUUUCUGUUGAUGAAUUACUAACUGUAACUUUGUGAGUUUAAUUAUAUUAAACAGUGAGUACUUAACGGGAAAAAAAUCACAAAAAUAAAAUGCUGAGGUUUUUAGUAUUUGUCUAAAAAAGCAUCGAAAUUUGAAACAUCGACUGCUUUUUGGGUGUACAAAGAACAUUAGAAAUAAAUUCCAAUAUGAGUUGCAAUGAAAAUACCACUAGCACUCUACCAAAAAAAAGUCUUCAGUUAUCACACCUAGCAGUCUGCACACAGGACAACAGCACAUUCCAUACACACGCACUGCUUUACUGACAGCACAGGUCCCUUGUUUUCCUGGCCUCUUUUGGACAUACUGGAAUUUCAGCGAUCUUGCUGUUGUGUCAGGAAGUUCUUAGUGUAUAAUGUGUGAUUCACAGGGACAAAAUAUCAACAAAUUAUUAAAUUCUUCGUAUUGUGUGUUUAGAAUAGACAUCAUAUUUUCAAGCAGCUGUGUACUUCCUUAACAAAGCCUAAAAGAUAACAUCAGAAAUAAAUCCUAUAUUAACUACAAUUUAAAUACCAAUAAAACUGUACCAGAAAAAUAAGCUUUGAUUCAACUGCACACCCAAGGCUGUCUUCACACAUGACAACUCUAUGUUCCAUACACAAGUAUUGCUUACACUGAUAGUAUGUUUUUGUUUUUCCCGUUCUUUCUUGUAGGGCACAAUUGACAUCUUUUUUGCUUUUUUGUUGUUGUGUUAGGUCUUUGUGAUGCUGCACCCACUUCUUUACCUGUCAGCUCACCAGUGUGCCGCACAAUUUUUUUUGCAUAGUUCCCUAGAGAGAAACAUGUUUUUCCUCUGCUGUAAAUAAUCUUUUAUUAACUCUAGUUCCAAUCCCCUAAGAAAAUUUUCUCUGUGGAACUUAACACUUUUUAUUUUCUUUGUAAACUAUCAAACUAUGCCACACAUUUAGAAUUGAAUAAAGCACAACCAUUGCCAACGUUUUGUAUUUCAAGUGACAUCAUAGUUUCUGCAUAACUCAUGAAUAACCUGUAUACCACAUUUGAUUUUGUUGGAAGUUUGCAUCUCAGGUUUCCCUUUUGGCCAGGUUUCCUACUAAUUGUUACAGUGUUGAAAUGUUGACAUUAGCAGUAUCAGUUUGCUUUUCUUUGUCAUACACAAAGUUAAUGUUAUAGCUUUCUGAAAUUCAAAGAUUGUACAAUGUUUUGAAAUUGGAAUUUGAAAUUUCAUUUGGGAUUUCUGCUUUGUUCCUGUGUACAGUUCCUCAACUGGUCAACUUGUACUCUGUUAGCAAAUAAAAACAUCAAUUGGAAAUCGGUAAA